GUAGUCUCGCACAGACGCAUAUCAAUAAGCGGAGGAAAAGAAACUAACAAGGAUUCCCCUAGUAACGGCGAGUGAAGCGGGAAGAGCUCAAAUUUGAAAUCUUAAAGGGUUUCCCUUUACGAAUUGUAGUUUAAAGAAGUGUUUUCUGUUGAGGUUUUGGUAAAAGUUCUUUGGAAUAGGACAUCAUAGAGGGUGAGAAUCCCGUAUUUGACCUUUACUUUCAACUUUGUGAUACACUUUCAAAGAGUCGGAUUGUUUGGGAAUGCAGUCCAAAAUGGGUGGUAAAUUUCAUCUAAAGCUAAAUAUUGGCGAGAGACCGAUAGCGAACAAGUACCGUGAGGGAAAGAUGAAAAGAACUUUGAAAAGAGAGUUAAACAGUACGUGAAAUUGUCAAAAGGGAAGCGUUUGACACCAGUGUUGUUUUUCUGAAAAUCAAUUAAAGAACUGUUUAUGCUAAGCUGUUUAGACUUUAUCAGCUAUCUGUUUAGUUUUGAGCUUUUCUUUAAUGCACUUCUCAGUUAACAAGUCAACAUCAAUUUCUUUUGCUGUAAAAAAGCUUGAGGAAGGUGGCUUGAGAUUCGUCUUAAGUGUUUAUAGCCUCUUGCCUAUGCAGUCGGAGAGAUUGAGGUCUGCAGCGUAGAUCCUUCGGGGCUAAAUGCAUUUGUGCUAAGUUAUAGCAUUUUAUAGACAACUUGUUGACUACGAUUUGUCUUGUAGCUUACUCGCUUAUGUUAUUUUACCUACGCUUAGGAUGUUGACGCGCGUGUGUGCGUG
rnacentral:rRNA from 1 species